rnacentral:lncRNA from 1 species
UUGUUACGGUCUGCCGCCCUUGAAUCCCCUCUCCUCUCAACCUUUCUCUGAAACCUAAAGCCAACCCUAGCCGCCGCCACCCAAACUAACCCUAAUCCUCUUCGAUCUUCACCCAAUCCCUGGACUCCCAUGGGUGUUUGAGAUGUAUACCGGUCUCCUAUGUCUAUUGGUUGCCUAUUUUCGUGAUUUCAUGGAAAGAUCUUGAAGAGAUUUAGUCCAGACCUUGCUCAACUUCUAUCCAUGGUCUCUUUCCGGCCAUCCAUGGUUGUUCGAGUCAGAUCCUUGACUUUUCUGGCUAGAUCGGUAACUUUUCGAAGUCUUUCUCAUUUUUCUGGGUUCUCCGAAACCCUAACUUUAAAGGCUUUCCAAUUUUCUUUCAGAUCUGUCUUAGAUAUAUGUAUGUUAUAAACCUCUUAAGUGUUUUCCUUAAAGGUUUUCCGAUUUUUCAGAACGACUCUUCGUCUUCAACGAUUAGGGUUUUCUCAACCUCUUUUAAAAGAUCUCUUCUCCGAUUUUCAGUGUUGUUUUAUGAUUUUACUAUGUUUAAACGAUUUGAUAUGUUUUCUUCUACCUGGUUCAUCGUGUUAAAACCCUAGGUAUUUUUGGUUUUAUCUGGGUUCUGAAACUAUCUUUGUUUGUUUAGUAUGUAUAUUUGUUUCGAUUAAGUUUUUUGUGUUUAGAUCCUCUUCUUUGUUGAUUGAUUCAGAGUUCUUACCAUUUUUAACUCGACUAUUGAUAAAACCCUAAUUUCCUAAAACUUUUCUCAGUUGUUACUGUGAGUUUUUAAAGACUUCCUCUACCUAUUUCCGUGUGUUGGUCUGAUCUCCUUUACAUGUUGCUAUGUGUUAGACUGGUUUCUUCACUUUGGUUCUAUGUGUGAGCCAUGACUACUUGACCUGUUGAUUGCCAUGUUUCGAAUGGGUUCUUUUAUUACUGAAUCCUUAGCCUACUCGUGUUACUGUUAUGUUUAUCUAGUUGCUUCUUUUGCCAAUAUGUUUGGCCUUGCAUGUCUGAUAUUCCUGUUUAUUCUUUCCUAUUUAUAUGUCGAAGUGCAGAAUCAUGACCCCUUUCUUAAUUGAUUUUGAUUUCCUUAAGUUGCGGUUUGGUUGCAAAAUUUUCUUAUAAACCCUCAAUUUUGCUCAUUUGUUUAUCCCCUUUUUUUAUUUGCUGUGAUGUUUCAACCUAUUGAAUCCUUUCCCCAAUUAAGUAUAUUCUGUACCUAGACACAAUUGUAUACUCUAUAUUCUUACUAUCCCUUAUAUGGUCAUAAAUCAAUCUUCCUUAAAUUGAUUUUCUUUCCUUAAUUAUCCCUGUUAGUAUCCAUUAAGCAGUAAUUCUUUAAUUAAAGGGAAGUACUUGUAUUAAUGGGAUUCUGAUUGUGAUUAUUUCCAUAUUUGUGUUAAACUUUUACUUGUUACCUUAUUUUCUACUCGUUUUCAAAAGCUAUAAAUACCCUACCCUCUCUUCUCUAAAGACACGGACAACUAAGUUCAGAACACACACACACAUACACAUUCAAACUCUCUUUUCUUUCUCUACUACUUGUGCUACUGCUUUGUCUAGCCGGCUGAAAGCCAAGGCUAGACUGUGGAACUCUACUCACUUUAUUUUUUGCACUUUGCUUCAUUAACUGGUAUGUCCUAGUUUAAUUUUAAAGCUUCAACAACAACAUGCUUCUUUAUUAUUCAGUCUCUCUCAUCCUUGGUCUACUGCUGCUUGUGGUUCUGUUGUGAAACAUAGGUUUAAGUUACAUUACCAUCAUGCUAUAAUGUCUCCCUUUCCCCUUUAGAUUAAUGCACUCUCCUAUGUGUCUGUCAAGGCAUACUUUGUGAGUCGCUUAUUGUGUACUUGACAUCCUGUGAAUCCCAAAUCCCUAUCCCUUCAAUGUGUUUAUGUUCUUUCUGACCAGUUUGUGAUUGUGCCAGUACCGGCAAUUACUGUGCAUGUUCAACUAGUCCUAAAACCCUUGAUGGGGCUAUGUGUUCACAGUCAAAUAUCCUCUAUGUCCCUAACCCCUCUAUUCCCCUGUUUGUAACUGCUGAAGUAUGUACUCCUCUUUGAAUUUGUUCUGUGUGUGUUAUUGUUACUCCUAGUCCCUUUCCUUUUCGAAAAUUUUUUUAUUAGGCAAUCCUUCUGUUGUUUUACAAACUCACUUCAAACAUGUUUCUAAAAACUAUUUUCCAACUCAACUCAUAUGAGAUAUGUCCAGCACUCUCACAUGCACUCUUAGAUCAUUAGGUUCUGCCCCUCUUGUGUGAGCCUUGCUUUGGGACCCUUGAGCUCCCUCUAAACCUGGAAACAUAAGGGUUGGCUCUUCCACACUGCACUUACUCUUAGGGAACUCUGACACACCCAGGUAUGAGAAUGGUUUUGGAACAGUAUUGACAUUUGAAUUGGUUUAUUACAUAACUCAGAGAGGACGUCAGGAUCAGGCUUCCUAUGGCUGUAACUUCUUAUUUUUGCAUUUCUUAUGUAAUUCUAUCACAGGGUCUGUAAUACUUUAUAAACAAGUAUUGGGGUGGCUAGUGAAAAAGGAUGGGAAAUAUGCAUGCCAUAGCUGUUCAAGGGUAGAAAACAUGUUAUCAGGUUUAUAUUCCAAGUUGUGCAAUAGAAAUCAUGUUUAGGAUUCAUACAAUGCAUUAGAAAUCAUGUUCUUAGGAUUCAUGUUGCCUGCUUCAGCAUCUCAUUCAUUGAUCCAUGUCUUAUAUCUAUAUCUUAGAAAUCCUACUCCUAGGGCAAUAACAAUAAUGGUAUGAAAGGCUGUUAUAUCAAAGGUUCUGCAAUUCUCGUGUAUAUUUAGAAAGCAUGCCUUAGGGAUUCUGUUUUCAACAACCCUGCCAUUUGCAUGUGCAUACUAGAUACCAUGUUCUAGGAUCCUGUUUGUAUUUUUAAAACGCCUAGUUAAUUACUGAUUCAGGAGAAGUUAGUAAUUUUCACAUUUUGUUUUCUGAAUAAAAUUGGCAACGAUCUCUACGACUAGAACAACAUGCUCUUAGGAUAAAAAAAAGUUUCAAAACGUCUUUUAAUAAUUCUAAACAACUACUGCAUAUCGCUCUACGCCUAGACAAGCCUUAGGUAAUUACUUAAAUAAAACUGAAACUACCUUUGUUUAAUCAUCAACUGUCACAACCAACAUGCAGGCCUAAUUCGGACUUCUUUUCAGAGUCAUGUGAAAAAUCUGGUUCUGACUUAACAUCCUGCUUUGGACUUUAAAUUCAGACCUUAUUGUGUAUAUGUCAUGCUGUCUAUGUGCACUAUUUGUGGAGUUAUAACUAAGCCUUCUACUUGCUUAUAUGUUCCCCCUAAUUGCAAUCUUAUAUGUUUUUGUAUGNNNNNNNNNNNNNNNNNNNNNNNNNNNNNNNNNNNNNNNNNCCCCCCCCCCCAUGUGCAAUUACUUGUUUAAUUUCUUUAAAAGCGUUUAAUUUAUUCUUUCUUGUUUCCUUCCUUUAUUGCUGCUUUAAAUUAUAAAACAGCUGUAUUUACCGUUUUCUUAACGUGCAAAUACAUGUCAACAUGCUUUUAAUUAUUGCAUAAUCAUGCUCAACAUCAUACUCCACUCGUGCCAAAGAAAUACUAUAGCAACGCUUGAUGAGUAGUUGCGCCCUUCCUAUAUCAUUACCCCCUAAAUUCGAAAAGGCAUAUUUGCAGUAAAACUAGUCGAUCAGCAGUGCAGUCAAUAGUUCCGUGCCUUCCCCCUUGAGUUGUCCACUCGAGGGUACCAGUCUAAAACCCUAUAGAACCUUACUCUGUUUAAAAUUGUGCAUGCAUCAUGAUCGAACCUAGUCUGAUCAGUUAUGUUGUCCACGUAAUGAUCCUUUAAGAUAGCCUUGUCCAAAAGUCCACUGGGUUUCCCUAAACCCAAACGGACAUCAUCACGUUCGGUGCAUUUAUUUGGAGAACUAAAUGCUUCAUGCUAAUUGUUGAUGAUAAAUAGUCGAGUCUAGUAGGGGUAUGGUCUUAACCCUUUUGUUUUGCAGAAAAUGAAGAACAAGGUCCCCAGUUUCAGUAUGAUUAGAAUGCCCCCACUCUUGCUAGACUGGUGGAGGAGUCUUCCAUCAAAUUACCAAAUCAAUGAGUGGAAAGAGAGGGCCGCCAAAGCUAGCGAAAAGUUGGAAUAUCUAGAAUAAAGUCUGCUGGAAUUGGAAGGAAAAGUGAGGAAGAGAGUCACCGAUUGCCAGAACACUGAGGGAAACGAAGGAGAACACCUGGCAAAGGCAUUUUACUAGUGAACCUAAGUGAACUGGAGGAUCUGAUCAACGAGAGCAUUCAACCUGAGGAAGGUCCUUCUGGGACCAAAUAGAUAGGAAUUUAUUUUUUCGCUUUAUAAAUGUAAUAAGGCCAUCAGUGACUUUUAUUUCCUGCUUAUUUAGUGUCGAUUUGGGAUUCGUCUACUUUUUAUCAAUAAAAUGAG